UCGGUACGUCACAAAGAAGUCCCGGCAAACUCCGUGCCAGCAGCCGCGGUAAUACGGAGGGGGCAAGCGUUGUUCGGAAUUAUUGGGCGUAAAGGGCAUGUAGGCGGUUCGGUAAGUUAAAGGUGAAAUGCCAGGGCUUAACCCUGGAGCUGCUUUUAAUACUGCCAGACUAGAGUCCGGGAGAGGAUAGCGGAAUUCCUAGUGUAGAGGUGAAAUUCGUAGAUAUUAGGAGGAACACCAGUGGCGAAGGCGGCUAUCUGGUCCGGUACUGACGCUGAGGUGCGAAAGCGUGGGGAGCAAACAGGAUUAGAUACC
rnacentral:rRNA from 1 species